GGCAUAUUGUGGUGUAAUGGUUUGAGUGUUUGACUAUGACCCUGAAAACCUGGGUUCAAAUCCCAGGUUGGCCA